rnacentral:rRNA from 1 species
GAUGAACGCUGGCGGCGUGCCUAAUACAUGCAAGUCGAGCGAACGGACGAGAAGCUUGCUUCUCUGAUGUUAGCGGCGGACGGGUGAGUAACACGUGGAUAACCUACCUAUAAGACUGGGAUAACUUCGGGAAACCGGAGCUAAUACCGGAUAAUAUUUUGAACCGCAUUGUUCAAAAGUGAAAGACGGUCUUGCUGUCACUUAUAGAUGUAUCCGCGCUGCAUUAGCUAGUUGGUAAGGUAACGGCUUACCAAGGCAACGAUGCAUAGCCGACCUGAGAGGGUGAUCGGCCACACUGGACCUGAGACACGGUCCAGACUCCUACGGGAGGCAGCAGUAGGGAAUCUUCCGCAAAGGGCGAAAGCCUGACGGAGCAACGCCGCGUGAGUGAUGAAGGUCUUCGGAUCGUAAAACUCUGUUAUUAGGGAAGAACAUAUGUGUAAGUAACUGUGAACAUCUUGACGGUACCUGAUCAGAAAGCAACGGCUAACUACGUG